rnacentral:misc_RNA from 1 species
GAACGCACCUUGCGCCCUUUGGUAUUCCUUAGGGCAUGCCUGUUCGAGCGUCAUUUCAAACUUCAAGCCCCCCCUUUAGCUUGGUGUUGGGCGUCUGUCCUCCCCCCGGGACUCGCCUCAAAUGCAUUGGCAGCCGGCACGUUGGCUUCGAGCGCAGCAGAAACGCGCGCGGCGUCCGACGGUGCCUGGCUCUCCAGGAAGCCUCCACCUCAAGUUUGACCUCGGAUCAGGUAGGGAUACCCGCUGAACUUAAG